AUAUGCUUGAAGGCAUUAGAAUCAGCAGAAUAUGGCGCGGCUUACCCGCCUAAAUAUCUUAGUUGUAUUCGCUAUAUGGUGUAUUGUAUCAACGUUGGAAAAUGCUCCCACUACCGUACUCGCAGGAAGGGGACGCUAUCCUCAAGGGAUAGUUAAUGAGGGAUAUAUUUCAGAUGGAGAGACAGGAAACAAUAUGGGUGCCAGCGAAGGUAUUUCCGGGACACAACGACGACCACGAUCUCCAUCUCGACCACGACAACCACGUCGACCUUCGCUAGAACAACGUGUUCGUCGGAGCAUCAGAAGAAUAGAAAGACGAGCGAGGAAUAUUCCAAUCCAAUUUCCUAAGAGGUCCUGAUAAGGGGUCAGAAGUGGAUAAAUCUAUAUCAACCUGUAGGUUCAUCACCGCAAUAAAAAUGGUAUGUUUCUCAACACAUAUACACAACGUUGCGUGUGUGUGUUGAUUUCACUU
rnacentral:lncRNA from 1 species